AGAGUUUGAUCCUGGCUCAGGAUUAACGCUGGCGGCGUGCCUAAUACAUGCAAGUCGAACGGAAGUACCUUCGGGUACUUUAGUGGCGAACGGGUGAGUAAUACAUAGGUAACCUACCCUUAAGACGAGGAUAGCCAUUGGAAACGAUGGAUAAAACUGGAUAGGAUAUAGAGGAAGAAUCUUUUAUAUUUAAAAGAGAGAUCUGCUUAAGGAGGGGCCUGUGGCGCAUUAGCUAGUUGGUGGGGUAAGGGCCUACCAAGGCGAUGAUGCGUAGCCGGACUGAGAGGUUGAACGGCCACAAUGGAACUGAGAACGGUCCAUACUCCUACGGGAGGCAGCAGUAGGGAAUUUUCGGCAAUGGGGGGAACCCUGACCGAGCAACGCCGCGUGAACGAAGAAGUUAUUCGUAAUGUAAAGUUCUUUUAUCAGGGAAGAAAGAGGAAUUUGACGGUACCUGAGGAAUAAGCUCCGGCUAACUACGUG
rnacentral:rRNA from 1 species